AAGUCCCGCAACGCGGCCACCGCUUUCCGUGUGCAACUGCUUCUUCAAUGGUAGUCGCGCUUGCCGCGCUCGUGCCUUCCCCUGUUUCUUCAUCGAGAAAGAACGACCGAGAGGAAAAGAGAGAAAGAGAGAGAGAAAGAGAAGGGGAACACGCGCUACUUUCUCGCGAAAAGACAAAAAGCCGCUAAGCAAACACGUGUAGGAACUAGGAUAGGGAAAUAAAUAUGCCGUCAAAUUGUUCCUUCGACUUCCACAGUUCUUCGACUAUGAAUUAUUGAGAGAUAAGCCGGAAAAAUGGGAGAGUGAGAGCGUUCAAAAACGCGAGUGUAUCCACAUGCUUUUUCGUGUUUCCUGUGUUUCCGGUCACAUGGAUCACGUGGUCGAUGAAACCCCUCCUCUUCUUUCGUAGUGGUGCUCUCGAGAGGAGGGAGUACCGGCUCGAAGGCAGGGGUGGCAGUUGGUGGUGGUGGUGGUAGUGCCGAUGCUGGAGGUUCAAGAGCGAAAAGAAAGAUAACGAAGAGGAUGCGAAAGAGGAUGCUGUGCCCUCGGGACCGAGACCACGUGGAAAUAAUCGGAUUAACACGCGACAGAAGGUACUUUGGUACAAUACGUUUCUGCCCUUGAAUUGCUAAGGAAAGAGGUGAAAAGAAGACAGAAGAAACGAGAAAAGAAUUUUAAAAAGCUAGUCUCGCACGAUUCUGGAAUAUCCAUCGACGAUGAUGACGACGAGAACGAAACAGGAAAAAACGCAGAAAAGAAUCUAAUAAUACGAAAAGAAGAUCCAGUUUCGCCAUUAUUCCGUUGACUCUCGAAAUACGGUGGAAGCCUUGGGUAAGGACGAAAAGAAGGAUAAGAGGUGGAAGAGGAUGAGGAAAGUAGAAGGUCUGUAGUCUCCUGUCAGGAGCAAAACGUCACGAAGGAAACCCCGGUUUAUCGAGAAUUUUGAGAAUGGUAAUGUAGAGGGUAAGAGAGCCGAAUUCGCAGACGAAGAAAAGAGGAAGGCGCAGAAUCAAGGGAA
rnacentral:lncRNA from 1 species